rnacentral:rRNA from 1 species
CAAUAGCGUAUAUUAAAGUUGUUGCAGUUAAAAAGCUCGUAGUUGGACUUCUGAUUCGAAAGAUCGGUCCGCCGCAAGGCGAGCACUGAUUCUUCGAGUCUUCCUCUCGUAGUUGUUUGGCGCACUUGAUUGGGUGCCAGAUGAAUAUGGGACCUUUACUUUGAAAAAAUUAGAGUGUUCAAAGCAGGCAAUCGCUUGAAUACAUUAGCAUGGAAUAAUAGAAUAGGACUUCGGUACUAUUUUGUUGGUUUCUAGGACCGAAGUAAUGAUUAAUAGGGACAGUUGGGGGCAUUCAUAUUCCAUUGUCAGAGGUGAAAUUCUUGGAUUAACGGAAGAUGAACUACUGCGAAAGCAUCUGCCAAGGAUGUUUUCAUUGAUCAAGAACGAAAGUUAGGGGAUCGAAGACGAUUAGAUACCAU